rnacentral:rRNA from 1 species
GUCCACGCCCUAAACGAUGUCAACUAGGUGUUGGGUGGGUAAAACCAUUUAGUACCGGAGCUAACGCGUGAAGUUGACCGCCUGGGGAGUACGGCCGCAAGGUUAAAACUCAAAGGAAUUGACGGGGACCCGCACAAGCGGUGGAUGAUGUGGAUUAAUUCGAUGCAACGCGAAAAACCUUACCUACCCUUGACAUGUCCGGAAGCCCUUAGAGAUUUGGGUGUGCUCGAAAAGAGAGCCGGAACACAGGUGCUGCAUGGCUGUCGU